CGGCCGCCUGGCGAGCUCGGAACCCCGCAGCCGACGUGGGAGGAGGAGGAGGAGAAGCCGCCCCGUUGGUUAACCGUCGUAUUCGCCCACGCGGGUUCUGACUGGGCGGACUGCUCGUCUACGUCCCAGAAUGCCUGGCAUAGGAUAUGAUUGUAAAUAUUUAGCUCUACAAAAAGAAAUGUCAUUUACAUACAAAAGGAAGACCUGAUUUAUUGGUUAAGUAAAUACAACAGAAUGCAUCCUAGAUUCCAGGUCUGCCUGAUGGAGGACCUACCUUGAAACCAUUAAUUCCCCAGUAAUCAACACAUGGAAUGGGGUACCAGUGAUGAAAAAAGAACACAUUUAGCACCCU
rnacentral:lncRNA from 1 species